rnacentral:rRNA from 1 species
UACGGACUUUCCCAAUAUGAGGGCGGGCUGGAACCUCUCGGGGUUACAGCCUUGCUGAAUUAUUCACCCUUGUCUUUUGCGUACUUCUUGUUUCCUUGGUGGGUUCGCCCACCACUAGGACAAACAUAAACCUUUUGUAAUUGCAAUCAGCGUCAGUAACAAAUUAAUAAUUACAACUUUCAACAACGGAUCUCUUGGUUCUGGCAUCGAUGAAGAACGCAGCGAAAUGCGAUAAGUAGUGUGAAUUGCAGAAUUCAAUGAAUCAUCGAAUCUUUGAACGCACAUUGCGCCCUUUGGUAUUCCAAAGGGCAUGCCUGUUCGAGCGUCAAUUGUACCCUCAAGCUUUGCUUGGUGUUGGGCGUCUUGUCUCUAGCUUUGCUGGAGACUCGCCUUAAAGGUAAUUGGUUUGCCGCCUACUGGUUUCAGAGCGCAACACAAGUCGCACUCUCUAUCAGAAAGGUCUGAACAUCCAUUAAGCCUUUUUUUCCACUUUUGACCUCGGAUCACGUACGGAUACCCGCUGAACUCCUCCUAUCAUUACACCGGCAGGAA